AAUAACGAGCUGCAGCAUUUGGAGUCGAGAAAGGGAGGGGGCGAAGAGGAGGAUUCACGUCUUUGUUAGAACCCUAACAAGGAAGACGAUCGCUCUUGAGGUUGAGAGCAGAGACACCGUCGACGAGGUCAGAUCUAAGAUCCAGAGAGGAGAAUUCAUGUAUACGUUGCGAUGGUCUUCUUGAACGGAACUUGGAAUGCUAAUUAUGUCUUCAAGUCCAUUCAAGAAUUCAUCUUGAAGCAAUUAUAUAUUGUCGUUGUUGCAGCCAUUCAAGGAUAAAUUGGCCAUGAGAGGUUUCUUCCUCAGACAUUUCGAUAGAGGCAGGACAAGGAAGGCAUUUCCUCGGAUUAACAGAGAUUUGACUUUUGCCGGGAGCCAGCUGGAGAGCCAGCUGGAAUAUGGUCGAAACACUUGCGGAUUACAAUACUUAAAAAGGUGUCUACAUUUCAUCUGAUUCCGAGGCUUAGGUUUGGAAUGAUAACAAAGGCAAAGACUUUAACAGGAAAAGAGAUUGAAAAUGGGCAUUGAACCCACAUACACUGUUUGUAGGAUCGAGGAAUGGGUUGGGGUGAUAGGGAAUACCCAACUUUCUUUUACUUUGAUCACCUGGGCUCAUUAGAUGGACCACGGACCAAUUGGUACCAUGUGGUUCUCAAGAACUGCUGGUUUACUAAGGCCAAGUGAAUCGUACUUACUGCUGGAAUUGUUAUAAAAGGGGAGAAAAUAGACAUGGUGAGUGAAAUAAUAUGCUCAUAGGUUUGUCGAGAAAUUGCUACCUCGAGGGUUACUUUGUAAACACAAGAUAUUAGUAUGUGCAACUUAAACCAUUCGAUGUCUGAGUCGACAAUCAUAUUAGCAACAAUGUAUUAGCCAUUCAAUGUCUGAACACAAGAUAUUAGCAAUGUAUUUGCUACUCGUUUCCUA